AUGAAUUAUCUCUGACAGCAGGAAAGAAAUAGUGUUUAAGAUUUGAACCUGUAGGAGUGUGUCAUGUAUUUUAAUAUAACAGGAGGUAAAAGUAAAGGUUGAAGAUCAGUGUUUCGAGUGAAAGUGAAGCAUCUAAGUGAAGAAUUGUCAAAGUACAGUAAAUGUAGAGUGAGGAUCACAAUGUCUUGCAAGGUAAUAUGAGAACUUAAUUUAAAAAAAAG